rnacentral:sRNA from 1 species
UCUCUGACGCGUGAGAGAUUUGUUGUCAAAUGUAAUAAACCAGCUAAU